GCAUUAAUGGGGUAGUGGUAACCUGGGUUGUUGCUAUAUCGUGAUAAGUUGCUGUGUUCUGGACCCACCGGGGGUUUGAAUCCUCCUUAAUGCA